AGCAGCCGCGGUAAUUCCAGCUCCAAUAGCGUAUAUUAAAGUUGUUGCAGUUAAAAAGCUCGUAGUUGAGUUUCGAGAUCAAUUUGUCGGUCGUGCCUCGGUACGUACUGGCAUUAUUGAUUUCUCCCUUCUGAAGAACCGCGAUGUCAUUAAUUUGGUGUCGUGGGGAAUCAGGACUGUUACUUUGAAAAAAUUAGAGUGUUUAAAGCAGGCGCACGCUUGAAUACAUUAGCAUGGAAUAAUGAAAUAGGACGUUUGAUUCUAUUUUGUUGGUUUUCUAGGAUCGACGUAAUGAUUAAUAGGGAUAGUUGGGGGCAUUAGUAUUCAAUUGUCAGAGGUGAAAUUCUUGGAUUUAUUGAAGACUAACUACUGCGAAAGCAUUUGCCGAGGAUGUUUUC
rnacentral:rRNA from 1 species